rnacentral:lncRNA from 1 species
UGGAAAUUCAAACUUUAAUUAAAAUUUGUAAAACAAAUAAUUAAAUCACGACAACAAUCAGAUAUUGUUCAGGAAGCGUCGAUAUUCAACCGUUUCCAAGCGAAUUUAUCCCGAUAAUCCCGUUCUCAAUCCGCUUCUAAUCCAAUUUGUAUAUUUCGCCUGGUAAAAUUCGACCGAGUCUGUCACGACUGCGUCCCGAUUCUACCGAAUGUAAUCCGACAGAUAUAAGACAGUGACCAGACAGUUAACCGACGCUG